UAACCAGCAAUCAUUGCAUUCCAAGAACCUAUUUUUCUUAUCUUUAUUUUGCCAAAAAUGCAGGCUGCAUUUCUGGGAGCCCCGCAUUUGAUAUACAUGUCCAUGAGAGUAGUUUCGAGCACCUCAUCUGAGCAACCAAUUCCACGUCUAAUAGCAUAGCCAUGUAUCGAAAGACCCUCAUGUAGCAAUUCCAACUGUGCUGCCGCCUGAAGUAAGCUCACUAAAGUCACCCGAUUAGGAUCCAGCUUUUCUUGCUGCAUAUUACCAGCAACCCAAAAAGCCCCAUAAGCACGGUGAUCACCUAUUUUCGCGUACCCAGUUAUCAUCGAUGUAUAUACAACGACAUCUUUUGGCGUUAUUUCAUCAAACACUUUAUACGCAUCAUCAACAUCACCAUACUUCGCAUAGAGCAAAAUAAGUGAAGAACCCACAAAGGAAUUUGCGUUCAAUCCAAACUUAAAAGCAUCCACGUGAACUCCCCUUCCAAAAUUUAAACAACCAAAUUCAACACAACUCUUCAAACAAAUCAUAAUCACCGAACUGUCCAAACAUAUACUUCUUUGCCUCAAAUUCAAAUACCGCCAUUGAACUUCUUUGUAGUGACCAGCUCUAAAAUACCCAACAAGAACUGAAUUCCAGAGAGAGAGACUGUUAUUGAUGAUUCUAUUAAAUACCCAUCUCGAUUCAGCUAAAAGAUCAAACUUUGCAUAGCAAGUUAUAAGCUUAGAGCACAAAAAACUAAUGUCGCCAAGCCCAUGAACAAAAAUGGAAGCAUGCAGUUUCUUUAGAGAGAAAAUAUCUGAGCAAUUCUCUAAGCAAAAGGCGAACUUCUCUGAUAUGGAUAUGGGAUGGGAGAG
rnacentral:misc_RNA from 1 species